ACGCUGCUGGUUUGGAGCCCUUACGGACUAGCUUCUAACCGUCCG
rnacentral:rRNA from 2 species